UGGGGAAUCUUCCGCAAUGGACGAAAGUCUGACGGAGCAACGCCGCGUGAGUGAAGACGGCCUUCGGGUUGUAAAGCUCUGUGAUCCGGGACGAAAGAGCCUGAGGUGAAUAGCCUAAGGAAGUGACGGUACCGGAAAAGCAAGCCACGGCUAACUACGUGCCAGCAGCCGCGGUAAUACGUAGGUGGCAAGCGUUGUCCGGAAUUAUUGGGCGUAAAGCGCGCGCAGGCGGCUUCCUAAGUCCAUCUUAAAAGUGCGGGGCUUAACCCCGGGAUGGGACGGGAACUGGGAGGGUGGAGUGUCGGGGAGGAAAGUGGGAUUUCCAGUGUAGCGGGGAAAAGCGUAGAGAUUAGGAAGAAAACCGGUGGGGAAGGCGACUUUCUGGGCGAAAACUGACGCUGAGGGGCGAAAACGUGGGGAGCAAACAGG
rnacentral:rRNA from 1 species